rnacentral:misc_RNA from 1 species
AAGCAGUUUCAAGCAUUUCUUGCAUAAAGGUAGAAACUCCACGAAGUUGGCAGUCACCAGCACCCACACGAGCAAAAAUGCAAUCACGAACUGAAAUACUAGCCUUGUCACAAGGAACAAAGGAACCAACUUGCGCCAUAAGAAUAUUCACACCAACUUGCCGAAUAAAUGUGGAUUUUCCACCCAUAUUAGGCCCUGUGAUUAUUUGGAACCAACUCUU